rnacentral:rRNA from 1 species
GGAGCUUGCUCUGUGGGAUCAGUGGCGAACGGGUGAGUAACACGUGAGCAACCUGCCCCUGACUCUGGGAUAAGCGCUGGAAACGGCGUCUAAUACUGGAUAUGUGACGUGAUCGCAUGGUCUGCGUCUGGAAAGAAUUUCGGUUGGGGAUGGGCUCGCGGCCUAUCAGCUUGUUGGUGAGGUAAUGGCUCACCAAGGCGUCGACGGGUAGCCGGCCUGAGAGGGUGACCGGCCACACUGGGACUGAGACACGGCCCAGACUCCUACGGGAGGCAGCAGUGGGGAAUAUUGCACAAUGGGCGCAAGCCUGAUGCAGCAACGCCGCGUGAGGGACGACGGCCUUCGGGUUGUAAACCUCUUUUAGCAGGGAAGAAGCGAAAGUGACGGUACCUGCAGAAAAAGCGCCGGCUAACUACGUGCCAGCAGCCGCGGUAAUACGUAGGGCGCAAGCGUUAUCCGGAAUUAUUGGGCGUAAAGAGCUCGUAGGCGGUUUGUCGCGUCUGCUGUGAAAUCCGGAGGCUCAACCUCCGGCCUGCAGUGGGUACGGGCAGACUAGAGUGCGGUAGGGGAGAUUGGAAUUCCUGGUGUAGCGGUGGAAUGCGCAGAUAUCAGGAGGAACACCGAUGGCGAAGGCAGAUCUCUGGGCCGUAACUGACGCUGAGGAGCGAAAGGGUGGGGAGCAAACAGGCUUAGAUACCCUGGUAGUCCACCCCGUAAACGUUGGGAACUAGUUGUGGGGUCCAUUCCACGGAUUCCGUGACGCAGCUAACGCAUUAAGUUCCCCGCCUGGGGAGUACGGCCGCAAGGCUAAAACUCAAAGGAAUUGACGGGGACCCGCACAAGCGGCGGAGCAUGCGGAUUAAUUCGAUGCAACGCGAAGAACCUUACCAAGGCUUGACAUAUACGAGAACGGGCCAGAAAUGGUCAAC